AGAUUGAACGCUGGCGGCAGGCCUAACACAUGCAAGUCGAGCGGUAGAGAGGUGCUUGCAUCUCUUGAGAGCGGCGGACGGGUGAGUAAUGCCUAGGAAUCUGCCUAGUGGUGGGGGAUAACGUUCGGAAACGGACGCUAAUACCGCAUACGUCCUACGGGAGAAAGCGGGGGACCUUCGGGCCUCGCGCCAUUAGAUGAGCCUAGGUCGGAUUAGCUAGUUGGUGAGGUAAUGGCUCACCAAGGCGACGAUCCGUAACUGGUCUGAGAGGAUGAUCAGUCACACUGGAACUGAGACACGGUCCAGACUCCUACGGGAGGCAGCAGUGGGGAAUAUUGGACAAUGGGCGAAAGCCUGAUCCAGCCAUGCCGCGUGUGUGAAGAAGGUCUUCGGAUUGUAAAGCACUUUAAGUUGGAGGAAGGUUGUAACCUAAUACGUUGCAACUUUGACGUUACGACAGAAUAAGCACCGGCUAACUUCGUGCCAGCAG
rnacentral:rRNA from 1 species